rnacentral:rRNA from 1 species
UGCCUAAAACAUGCAAGUCGAACGGAGUAGCAAUACUCAGUGGCGAACGGCGGAGUAAUACAUAAGCAACGUGCCCCGAAGUCUGGGAUAGCGGUUCGAAAGGACCAGUAAUACCGGAUGUGGCCCUCUUAGGACAUCUUAGGAGGAUUAAAUGGUUUUUCGCUUCGGGAGCGGCUUAUGACCUAUCAGCUUGUUGGCGAGGUAACGGCUCACCAAGGCUUUGACGGUUAGCUGAUCUGAGAGGUUGAUCAGCCACACUGGAACUGAGACACGGUCCAGACUCCUACGGGAGGCAGCAGUAGGGAAUAUUGCGCAAUGGAGGAAACUCUGACGCAGCGACGCCGCGUGGGUGAUGAAGGUCUUCGGAUCGUAAAGCCC